UUCCCUGUGGCUCAGUUGGUAGAGCAUGGUGUUUGCAACUCCAGGGUUGUGGGUUCGAUUCCCACGGGGGACC
rnacentral:tRNA from 1 species